AUAAUGAUACUCCUCUACGGAGCUGGCGGAGUACCCGGCAGAGGUGAGAUUCCUAUGA
rnacentral:ncRNA from 1 species